rnacentral:rRNA from 1 species
UUGUUGCUUCGGGGGCGACCCUGCCGUUUCGACGGCGAGCGCCCCCGGAGGCCUUCAAACACUGCAUCUUUGCGUCGGAGUUUAAGUAAAUUAAACAAAACUUUCAACAACGGAUCUCUUGGUUCUGGCAUCGAUGAAGAACGCAGCGAAAUGCGAUAAGUAAUGUGAAUUGCAGAAUUCAGUGAAUCAUCGAAUCUUUGAACGCACAUUGCGCCCCUUGGUAUUCCGAGGGGCAUGCCUGUUCGAGCGUCAUUUCACCACUCAAGCCUCGCUUGGUAUUGGGCGCCGCGGUGUUCCGCGCGCCUCAAAGUCUCCGGCUGAGCUGUCCGUCUCUAAGCGUUGUGAUUUCAUUAAUCGCUUCGGAGCGCGGGCGGUCGCGGCCGUUAAAUCUUUUAUAAGGUUGACCUCGGAUCAGGUAGGGAUACCCGCUGAACUUAAGCAUAUCAAU